rnacentral:rRNA from 1 species
AGAGAGAGACAUGCGUGCAUAUCAAUAAGCGGAGGAAAAGAAACUAACAAGGAUUCCCCUAGUAACGGCGAGUGAAGCGGGAAGAGCUCAAAUUUGAAAUCUUAAAGGGUUUCCCUUUACGAAUUGUAGUUUAAAGAAGUGUUUUCUGUUGAGGUUUUGGUAAAAGUUCUUUGGAAUAGGACAUCAUAGAGGGUGAGAAUCCCGUAUUUGACCUUUACUUUCAACUUUGUGAUACACUUUCAAAGAGUCGGAUUGUUUGGGAAUGCAGUCCAAAAUGGGUGGUAAAUUUCAUCUAAAGCUAAAUAUUGGCGAGAGACCGAUAGCGAACAAGUACCGUGAGGGAAAGAUGAAAGGAACUUUGAAAAGAGAGUUAAACAGUACGUGAAAUUGUCAAAAGGGAAGCGUUUGACACCAGUGUUGUUUUUCUGAAAAUCAAUUAAAGAACUGUUUAUGCUAAGCUGUUUAGACUUUAUCAGCUAACUGUUUAGUUUUGAGCUUUUCUUUAAUGCACUUUUCAGUUAACAAGUCAACAUCAAUUUCUUUUGCUGUAAAAAAGCUUGAGGAAGGUGGCUUGAGAUUCGUCUUAAGUGUUUAUAGCCUCUUGCCUAUGCAGUCGGAGAGAUUGAGGUCUGCAGCGUAGAUCCUUCGGGGCUAAAUACAUUUGUGCUAAGUUAUAGCAUUUUAUAGACAACUUGUUGACUAUGAUUUGUCUUGUAGCUUACUCGCUUAUGUUAUUUUACCUACGCUUAGGAUGUUGACGCAUGAGAUAUACGC